UUGUUGCCCAGAGUGCUGCUGGCAAUUACCGGUGUGCCUCAAGUGUCCCACAUUCGUGCUGCUGAGCUCUUUAAAGGCUUCAAAGCAGGGUGGCCUCAUCCAAAUUGUCUGCUGGUUCCAGCUUCCAAGUUGUGCAAAGGAAUUACUCCACAAAUGUCUAGCUAACCCAAGUUAAAUCCAUAGCAUGAAUUUUUCUUGUAACUGAGCAAUGCACAUGUAUUUGCAGCACCCAGUUAUGGUCUGAGCCAUAACUGCUUCAUUUUCAAGUGAAGUCUCACAUCUCUAGUUUCCCACACAGUUGCACUGAAAGCAAAGUGCCUGACAUUUCACCUUGCAAGACAGACUUCAGCAAAGACUGUGUAACUCCUUGACCAAGGGUUUCAAAUGCUCUAUAAAUCUUUUUUUCCAGAAGCUUUGUAUCCUGAGACUCAGCCCUGUGACCAGCUCAGGCUGAGAUGACACUCAUUUCACUGUGCUGGGGUACACUCCAGUGACAGCCUCUCUGGGGAACACCUAAGUCACUGUGCUUAUUACACAUCUGUAAUUAGUGAAUGCAUCCAGCUCACGUAUUUUAGGGCAUUUUAACUUAUGUUGUAGCUUUUAUAUUUUCUGCAUGAAUCUCCAUAUGCUGAACUAUAGUUCUUUAAGUAACCUGAAUCUUCUCACUCUCUAAGCACAGCAUUAUUUCUGCUGCACCACAUACAUCUGUAUGACUGAUGAAGAAAGCAUGAAGUAGGAGAAAGAAGACACCACUUGUUUGCUUUUAUUGCUUGUGCUGAUGGUUUUGAGAUUAAAACUCAUAUUUUGGUGUUUUGGUUUUUUAAAUUUAAUUUAAGUGGCUUUUUUUUUUUUUUGAGAAGACAAUUCCUGUGAAUUACUGGAGAUUGUUUCCAGAUUAUAUUCCCUUCCUGCUCUUCUUUUAAGCAGAUUUUCUAAAGGGCAUGUCUGUAACUCAGAUAAUUUGUGUUCAAGCAUAAAUCUGUACCAAAAGCACAAAAGCUCAGUGGGGAAGGCAAUCUUUUUCCUUUUUGUCAAUAAGUAGGCAGGUAAGCACAUUGCCUGCUGAGGCAGCCAUGUGUCCUCUAGUGGCACACAAAGUCCUGCAUGCUGGCUCCUAACGCAGGCAUCAGGCAUCCUGCAUCCUUGCACAGGCAAAGCUUCUCAGCAAAGUGAGGAAGGCAAGAGGCAGUGAAAUAUGAGCAGUUCACAGGCCAGUGAAAAAGCACAGGAAAAGCUCUGGGUAGAUGUGUGAGAACAGGCAGAAAUUGUAUCUGUCUCCCUAAAUAAAGAGUUUCUGGCACGUUUAGGAACCAGAGCUUGCUGUGUGUCACCACAGGUCCAUUGCUUUCCAGAGAAAAGCAGAGUUUAACUCUGAGUCCCUUGGGAUCAGUGCCCCCAGCAGACAGUCCAGACUGAUCUGCCUAGAAACUGGAAUGCCAAGGCACAGCAGAGGGUGAAAUGACCUGUGUGUUUUCAUACAGAGGUUUAUGCUAAGUACAGUGCACAUGAAAGCACACCAUCCCAAAAAAGAAAUGCUUUCAUUACUAAAGAGCUGUAUGGGAUCCACUGGCACUGCUCUUCCAAGGAAUAAGAAAGGUCAGUUAGAAGCUGUUGGUUUUAAUUUUUUUCCAGUUCUUAUAGCAAGACUACAAAAUUCAUACUUUAAUAGGACUCAGGAAAUAUGGGUUGGCAGAGUAAAAUUAUACCACUACAGUAAAUUAAAGUGGCCUUUUGUCUCUAGCUAAGUUCAAAUUACAUAAAAACAAGGCCUCAUCCUUAGGCUAGAAUUUUUGGACCUACAACCCCUCAUCUCAGUUGAAGAACCCUUCUGUAGCUGAAUGAAAUAAAUGAGCUGGCCACAUAACUAUUAUGGAUACUAAUCAUGUAUCUACAUCACCAAUGAUGCCUUUGGAAACAGUUCUCUCUGCAGAGAGACCAAACUUGUCACCCUCUGGUUCCCUUUCUUCUCAAUCUUUACUGGCUGCAGACACCUUGCAGUCUUUGUCUAUCAGGAAAGCUGAGACAGUAAAAAUUGAUUGUUCAAUGCCAACAAGAUAGCAGGGAAUUCAGUCUCUAUCUGGAGUUCAGGAUAAUAUCCUCAACAGUGAGAAGUUCUUUCUCUUCAGACUCUCCAGUGGAUGUACUUCAUUCCACUACUUUCAGGAUGGUCAGACACUGGAAAAGGCUGCCCACAGAGACUGUGGGGUCUCCAUCCUUGGGCAUAUUCAAAACCCAGCUGGACACAGUCCUGAGCAACCUGCUGUAGCUGAUCCUGCUCUGAGCAGGGCCGGGUGGAGUAGAUAACCCCUCCUCACCUCAUCCAUUCUUUGAUUCUGCAAUUCAUUUAUUUAAUGCCUCAGCAGAUCUGAAAAGUGAUGUUUGGAGGGUCUCUCUGGCAGGUCUGCUCCUGUUUCACACUCCAGCACUGCCAGCCCACGUUCCACCAGGGAGCUUGGCACACUCAGUUCUGGAGUGCUCACACAGGAUGAGGCUUUCGCAAUAGGAACAAGGAAACUUCUGAAGUAAACGUGUUGUGAUUUGUUAAUGAUUUGUGUAAUUUCCACUUUAUUGGCAGUAGAUUUCUUUAAAAAACAAUGAUGUCAUAUGGUUUUCCAUGUAGAUUUAUUUGCUAUAUUAAGAUACAUUAACCUAUUCCUUUAAUUACUGGGGUCUUCAUGGUGGUCUUUGAAGUGUGGUGGUCAGUUCUCUCUGCAGGAGAACCUGUGACCCGAGGAAGCUGAGGCAGCAACAAUAUUAGAAGAAAUUGGUCUGAGGGAAGGCAGCUGAUGGUGGAAAUUACCAUCCUGAGUGGCAUCUUUAUUUUCAAGGAGUGGCUUUUUUAGGAGAAAGUUAGCUGCAGCUGGAGAUCACCCCUGUGGUAAAAUGUGCUUCCUCUUUGCUCUGUGCCAUGAACACCUUCCCAAGUCCUGUGAGCCAAUGCUGACACUACUGACACAGAGAUAGAAGGGAAAGAGAUGAAACGUUCUCUUGGAUGUGUCAGGGAAGGACAAAGUGGGUUUCUGAGAUCUCUGCCCAGAGUUCCACAAGGAUGUAGACAUCUACAGAUGUUACUUUAAUGUGCUUCUUCAUGGACAGGACUGGCUUACAGCAAAACAUCCUUGAUUUUGGGGUUCUAGAAAUCGAAGUACCUAUUAUUCCAGUGGCUGCCAAGACGGAACUAAAGUAUUGAGAAAAAACUACUCCAGGCAACGAGGCAAUUAACACUACAGAAGGAAAAGCUUAGGCUGCCAGCAUUGGGGCAUAUGCUUGUCUGGGCUGUUCUGCCAAGACAAAAGAAGGUGAUGAUAGAGGCGUGGAGAUCAUUAACCAAGUGCAUUACAUGAGGAAGGGCGGAGGAAAAAAAACACUACAGGCACCGACAAAUUUUGUGAGAAGGGAGCAUUAUUUUGUGGUUGGAUUUCAUCAUGUGGAAAGGCAGAGGACAUAAAGAAGAGGGAAUGCCAGCAACCAUGCUGUCAACUUUGCAAGUCAUUAACAAUCUGGAAGGAGACUGAGACAUUCUGUCAACCUAAGCAGAAUAUCUCAGAGAGGCACAGAGAUGGACAAAAAUGGAAAGAUUUUGGGUGCAACUCCCAUUCCUCCCUUCUGAGGAGCAGUGAGUCCUGGCAGCCUAAAGAACUGAGUUAUGAACUGAGAUUAAAGGCACAAGGCUGGAAGCAGGCAAGUAAUGUGACUGCAAGGGUUUGAAGGCACAUGCUGAAACACAGAAAUGGACAAAUGGACAGAGAAAUAUUCUAAGGCAAACCCCUUCUGAUCCUGAAGCAAAGGUACAGCACUAAUUGAGCGUAACUGCCAUGAACUAGGAGAACACGGAAGUCUGUCCCUUUGUUUUGCUGCUGGUGUCAUCUCUCUGGCAGCCUGGUUAAAGUUCCCCAGGAGGAAACAAAAUGAGAACAAAGACAAAUUUCUAAAUUCGUUAUGUACCUGGAGCUGUACAUUUUGCAAAUGAGUUUUUCCAGGUGAGAGACCUAGCAAAAUACACAAGAUUUUUUUUUUUUCUUACCCACUCUUCCCACCAUUAUUUGUCUGUUGAUGAUAUCAUGGGUAGAAAUGUUGGGGCUGGCCAAGUAUUCAGUAUUGGAUGGAUUGCUGCUUUCCUUCUACAUCACUUUUUGGUAGCAGUUUGAAGUCCACAAUCACGCUGUGCCCUAACAACAAAUGCUUCAAGGAUGACAUUUGCAAAAGUACCUUUCUUCCAAGAAUCUCUGAGUGCUUUUCAACAUGAAUUGCCAGCCCAUCUCUUGGUGAUAAGUAGGUGUUAUUUCCAUCUUCAAACUGAGAAACUUAAACUGCUGCCUAAAGUAACUGUGAAUCAUCUACUUCCUGGAGCUUUCUUUUUCUUGUUUUCCCUACCCUUUCCCUUUUGUCUCCUGGGCCAUUCUUAACCACAAUUUCCUGUCCCCUCUGUCGAUAAUAAUACCCUAGAUGCAACCUGAUGUUGUACCCAAAUUUUAAAAUUCUCUCCCCCUGCCCCCGCAUGCAACUUGGGUGUGUGUGUGCUGUGCAUAAGUGCUCUCCUGAUUCAGGUAGUAGCACCAACUGAGUCUUUCAAAGAGCUGUAUUUAUGUAGAUAGGUUUAAAUUGUUAUUUCCAUCCUGUACGUGCAUGUGUGGGUGGGGAGGAUUAGUCUGCAGAUGAGUUAAAGAGCACAGGUGUCUCAGGUGCCUCUGAUGUGGAGCACUGAACUGGAGAGAGGCAGUUUUGCAAAGAUUCCAAGCACUUACUGCUCCCCCUGCUUGGAAAGUUCAGACUCCCUGGGUGAAUCAGCUCACACUACCUGCUGCUUAGUAGGACACUGGGCAGAAUAUUGGCUGGUGUCUGUUUUCAGUCUAAAUAAACAAGUGCUUUCCUCCAGAAGGGUGUUUUGUUCAGGAUAAGGGUUUUACUCCCAGUAUUCACUGUACAUAUCUCUGAAUUAAACUGUUGUUACACUGA